UACGGAGGGAGUUAGCGUUGUUCGGAAUUACUGGGCGUAAAGCGCACGUAGGCGGCUUUGUAAGUUAGAGGUGAAAGCCCGGGGCUCAACCCCGGAAUUGCCUUUAAGACUGCAUCGCUUGAAUCCGGGAGAGGUGAGUGGAAUUCCGAGUGUAGAGGUGAAAUUCGUAGAUAUUCGGAAGAACACCAGUGGCGAAGGCGGCACACUGGCCCAUUACUGACGCUGAGGCUCGAAAGCGUGGGGAGCAAACAGG
rnacentral:rRNA from 1 species